UGGAACCUUCCCACCAACAACACAAAACACCACAACCACGCCAGGAAAUUGCACAACAAGACCAACCACAGUCCCAUCAAGCAAACCUGGAAAUCAUAGUACUACUCCCAUAGUUACCCAAAAAGUUACCCCAACACCAGGAGGACACGGUGAUAACAAAUCAGACAAAGGCAAGUGGGUGGCUACAGGUUUUGCUGUUGUGUUUUUCCUUACAACCAUCAUAAUGACAGUGUUGUACUGUCGACAACGCAGGAUUUACCGCGAACUUGAGGGUGACAGCUCCUUGUCCAGGUUGAUUUAAUCUCAACAGACAAAACUUGCAGGGGGAGACCAUUCAAGAAUCUCUGUGAAAUUUGCAUAAAUAUACAUUAGCACGCUAAUAAAACCUUAAUUUUUUUUUUUGGAGUAGUGGGUAGGCAUAUUAAAUUCUUGAAUGUUAUUGGCCAAUCACACUUUUAAUGAUCCAGCUUUUUUCAAUAAAAACCACAGUCUACAACUUUUUAGUAUUUCCUUCAGGAGUUCACCCUUUCAUGGUAUGCUCAUUUUGUUCACUUUAAAUUGUAGAAAUAUUGCAUAAAGGUGGUUUUGUCCGUUGUGUAGCAGAACUAAGUUCACAAGUGUUCUCAACUUUUAAGAUAUUAAAAGGACUGUUUUAUUGGUGCUCAAUUAUUUCCUUUUGUAUCUUUUUUUUUUCUGUUUCUGGUGUAGAAAAAUAGUUUUGUCACUAUUGUAGGUAGGGAAUAUUUACAUUUUAUUCAACCAGGUAGACUAAAUGUUCUGAUACAGUCCCUGUAGAUCAGGAAUCAGCCAUAGCCACAGUCCAACCAAAGUUGAUAUUUUAACACAUUUCAUAAUCAAGGACUUCUGUAUGCAGAGCAUACAAUAUUGCUCUGUUGAUUGUUUUCCUUGUUUAACUUUCUUGAAAUGUUCAUUUCGUUUUCAACUGAAGUAAAGUUUGAGCAUUGU